AUUGAACGCUGGCGGCAGGCUUAACACAUGCAAGUCGAACGAUGAUUAUCUAGCUUGCUAGAUAUGAUUAGUGGCGGACGGGUGAGUAACAUUUAGGAAUCUGCCUAGUAGUGGGGGAUAGCUCGGGGAAACUCGAAUUAAUACCGCAUACGUCCUACGGGUGAAAGGGGGCGCAAGCUCUUGCUAUUAGAUGAGCCUAAAUCAGAUUAGCUAGUUGGUGGGGUAAAGGCCCACCAAGGCGACGAUCUGUAACUGGUCUGAGAGGAUGAUCAGUCACACCGGAACUGAGACACGGUCCGGACUCCUACGGGAGGCAGCAGUGGGGAAUAUUGGACAAUGGGGGCAACCCUGAUCCAGCCAUGCCGCGUGUGUGAAGAAGGCCUUUUGGUUGUAAAGCACUUUAAGCAGGGAGGAGAGGCUAAUGGUUAAUACCCAUUAGAUUAGACGUUACCUGCAGAAUAAGCACCGGCUAACUCUGUGCCAGCAGCCGCGGUAAUACAGAGGGUGCGAGCGUUAAUCGGAAUUACUGGGCGUAAAGCGAGUGUAGGUGGCUCAUUAAGUCACAUGUGAAAUCCCCGGGCUUAACCUGGGAACUGCAUGUGAUACUGGUGGUGCUAGAAUAUGUGAGAGGGAAGUAGAAUUCCAGGUGUAGCGGUGAAAUGCGUAGAGAUCUGGAGGAAUACCGAUGGCGAAGGCAGCUUCCUGGCAUAAUAUUGACACUGAGAUUCGAAAGCGUGGGUAGCAAACAGGAUUAGAUACCCUGGUAGUCCACGCCGUAAACGAUGUCUACUAGCCGUUGGGGUCCUUGAGACUUUAGUGGCGCAGUUAACGCGAUAAGUAGACCGCCUGGGGAGUACGGCCGCAAGGUUAAAACUCAAAUGAAUUGACGGGGGCCCGCACAAGCGGUGGAGCAUGUGGUUUAAUUCGAUGCAACGCGAAGAACCUUACCUGGUCUUGACAUAGUGAGAAUCUUUCAGAGAUGAGAGAGUGCCUUCGGGAAUUCACAUACAGGUGCUGCAUGGCUGUCGUCAGCUCGUGUCGUGAGAUGUUGGGUUAAGUCCCGCAACGAGCGCAACCCUUUUCCUUAUUUGCCAGCGGGUUAAGCCGGGAACUUUAAGGAUACUGCCAGUGACAAACUGGAGGAAGGCGGGGACGACGUCAAGUCAUCAUGGCCCUUACGACCAGGGCUACACACGUGCUACAAUGGUAGGUACAGAGGGUUGCUACACAGCGAUGUGAUGCUAAUCUCAAAAAGCCUAUCGUAGUCCGGAUUGGAGUCUGCAACUCGACUCCAUGAAGUCGGAAUCGCUUGUAAUCGCAGAUCAGAAUGCUGCGGUGAAUACGUUCCCGGGCCU
rnacentral:rRNA from 1 species